AUACAAGACUUCAGAAAAUGCAAAAAACAGUGUCAACAAACUGGGAUAGUGAGUAUGGAUGUUAUCCUUGCCAUUUGCCAAAGCUUGGAGCCAAAAAAACACCCCCAUCAGAGCCAGAACCAUCCUCCACUGCUCUUCCUGCCCAGGCAAUCUACAUGUUAAGUACAAAGGAAGCAGUACUUCCAAAAGCUAAACUCCCAUCAGGAAGAAGAUUCAGCAGCUAGAGGAUGUUUGCCUAAUUACAUUAUCUCAACUUUUCCCAAUUACAUGGAGAACAGAUGUUUUGUGACUGAAAACAAACCCAAAGGGAAGGAACAUCAAAGACCAACUGCCUACAACAAGAGCCUACAAAAUCAUUUUUUUUUUCUUAAACUCACUUACUUACAAUGCCAAACACGUUUUGCCCAGGCAGGAAGGUGUGAUUAAGUGAAACUGCUUCCUUGGGGACUGCAGGAUGAUGCUGAAAGAAAACAACAAAGACACAAGUACCUUCAACAGAUUGUUUUAAUAAAGUUGAUGAAAUGCUGAAUUUCGACAUUCUAAUGAAACUGCCCUGCUAUGAUACUGGCUGGGAGGUCAACCAGCACACAAGCAACCUGGGUGUGAAGGAACACGAUUCAGGAUGGGAACAGUUCCGGGCGUGGAGAGAAGCGUGCAGCAAUUGGCGGGACUUUGUCGUGUGGACUUUGCUGUUAUUAUGUGGUUUCAUUGUAUUCACACUACACAGUGCACAGC